CUACAGCCCCACCCACCCACUAACCCACUGCACACAUCGAUCCAUGGCCGGCGCUGGCAACUGGCGAGCGGAGAGGCGGCGGCCCCGCCUCCAGUAGCCUCCGGCGCGGCCGGCCCCUACCCCCGUCGCCCCCGGCGUGGCAAGCGCGUCGCCCGUCGCCUCCGCUGUGCCGACCCGGUGCGGCGUCUCCCCGGCGCGGCCGGCCCGUCGCCUCCGCUGCCCCGGCCUAUCGCGGCCCCCUGUCACCACCUCCCCGUCGAAGCGAGCUGGCCAUGGAGGUCGUUGACCCUACAACUGAUCGAGUUCCUGCCGUCGCGCGCGCGACCCUGCGGAUCCGGUCGAGGUCGAGCAACCACCGCCGGAUCUGAUGCGCGUGACCCCGCCGGACCUCCCUGCCUAGUCCCUCCGUGCGCGCCACCGGACCUGCCUCGCCCAGGCAUGUUGCCGGCCCUGCCUUGCCCAGGAGAAGACGAAGAUUCGAUUUCUUUUUUACAAAUUUUUGUAAGGUUCUUGCAAGAAACCAGGACUAAUUUUUCUUUCUUUUUAUGUGGGGGUCUUUUAUGUAAAGUGUAACCACCACAUAUAUAUAAGAAACGAGGUGGGAGUUAAUGCAAACGAGGUGGGUCGCACUAUUCGUCACCCUGCUUGAGGAAUAGUUAUUC